AUUAGUGCAGUUUCAUUUGAUUAGUGACAUGUAUAAAGGCAAGAGAGAUUCGAAGAAGAACUUUCUAAUCUUCUUUCCAUGAAGCAGCUCUCAUCUAAAUCAAGUCAGGGAAAUUGUGAGCUUCAGAAUGAGAUAGGCAUGAUUUCAUGUUUGUAACCCAAAUCUUGUGAAUCUGUAUGGCUGUUGCUCAUAUAUGAGUAUAUAUGGAAAAUGACAGCCUCGCAUGUGAAUUGGUUGGUGAGAAUUAAGUACUGCAAUUUACUUAAUUGAUAGAUUAUAAAUGAAAAUGGGAGUAGAAUCAUAAAAUAGCAUUAAGCAUUUAACUAUAGGCUAAUGGAUUUCUCCUUAGCAAUGAGCCCAGUAAAUUAUCAGCUGAAGCUGGACUAGCCAACAAGGCACCAAAUUUGUGUUGGAUAGCUAAAGGUAACUAUAUAAAAAGAGCGAGGGAGCUCUUUUUCCUGUAAUUUUGUUUGGUUAAGUUUUCUACAGUAAUGGUGCGUUUGAUUUAGGAUAAUAAUUAUAUGAAGAGAGAGAGGUGAAAGGGAAGAGAGAGUGGGGGAAGCAAAACACUUUAUAUCUCUUCUCUCUCUAUCUGCUUCCUCAAAUCAAAUUUCUAUCCGAAAAGAAAACCUUGGAAGACAGAGAGGGAAGCAAAACACUUUGUUUUGUUCAUUCAUUGUUGUGUGUGGAAGUUGAGUGCGGAGAAAUUACAAGAACUGAGAUCAAGCAGUGAUUUUCAUGGCAAAAAAAUCGUUCUUCAAGAAAACAAAUCCAUGCCCAGGAGAAGAAAUUUCCGACUCUAACCAUCAAUUAAUGCUCAGCUACUAUCGAUCACACAUACAGCAGUCAGCAGAACAACAUCCUAAUGAGGUCAGAUUUUGGAGGUUCGAGGACAUGAAAGCAAAUGUCCAUAAGGUUUAUCUUGUAGUACCAUGAUACAAAACACCUUCCGCAUGAAAUGCAAAGCUCGAAGUCAAGACAAGGUGUUUGAUCAAACCACUAUAAACCAGGAAAUCCAAUCUUGUAGGACCAUGAAAUAAAUACUCUCCACAUGGUAUGCUAAGCUUGAAGCAAAGACAAAGUAUAUAUUUCAUACUACUAUGUAUCGACAAUGGAGGCCGUGAGAUCCAAUUCUUGUAUCUCUCUCCCACUAGAUGUU